AGAGUUUGAUCCUGGCUCAGGAUGAACGCUGGCGGUAUGCUUAACACAUGCAAGUCGAACGAAUCCCUUCGGGGAUUAGUGGCGGACGGGUGAGUAACGCGUGAGAAUUUACCAAAAGGACUGGGACAACCACUGGAAACGGUGGCUAAUACCGGAUGAACCGAAAAGUAAAAAGGGAAACCUGCCUUUUGAAGAGCUCGCGUCUGAUUAGCUAGUUGGUGAGGUAAGAGCUCACCAAGGCAGCGAUCAGUAGCUGGUCUGAGAGGAUGACCAGCCACACUGGGACUGAGACACGGCCCAGACUCCUACGGGAGGCAGCAGUGGGGAAUUUUCCGCAAUGGGCGAAAGCCUGACGGAGCAAUACCGCGUGAGGGAAGAAGGCUCUUGGGUCGUAAACCUCUUUUAUCAGGGAAGAAAAAAAUGACGGUACCUGAAGAAUCAGCCUCGGCUAACUCCGUGCCAGCAGCCGCGGUAAUACGGAGGAGGCAAGCGUUAUCCGGAAUUAUUGGGCGUAAAGCGUCCGCAGGUGGCUUAUCAAGUCUGCUGUCAAAGAGUGGGGCUUAACCCCAUUAAGGCAGUGGAAACUGAGAAGCUAGAGUGCCGUAGGGGUAGAGGGAAUUCCCGGUGUAGCGGUGAAAUGCGUAGAGAUCGGGAAGAACAUCGGUGGCGAAAGCGCUCUACUGGACGGCAACUGACACUCAGGGACGAAAGCUAGGGGAGCGAAUGGGAUUAGAUACCCCAGUAGUCC
rnacentral:rRNA from 1 species